UAGACUUUUAUAAAUAAAAACAAAAAAUAUCAACAGUACUAGACUGAAGUCCAUUAGCAAAAGCCUAUUAAACAAAAAUAAAAGAAAAAAUGGGCCUAGAUCACACAGAAAUGUCUCAUAACUUAAAACUUAACUAAAACAGAAAAAGGAAACCUAAUCUUAUCCUAUACCAGUGGAAAUCAACAGCUGGAUACCAUUAGUCAGUGUCCGUUCACUUCACCGAUCCAGCUUUAAUGAUAGCAGUUUUCAAAAUAUCUUUUAAUCUUCUGCUACCCAUUUCCAAAGGAGUACAUCUUACUUUUUCUUUCAAUCUAGUUGCCUUGGUCGAAGUUUCUCUAGCGUACAACAAACGUAAUCUGGAACUCCAACCAACAGGUAAUGACUUUCUCCCUUCUUUAUAGCCUUUUUCACAAGAACAUGGGCAUAUUAUUCUCUAUUUUAGGGAUAAAAUGAAACCCUAUCUCUUGAAAUUCUGCCUUUUUGCUUUGGAUGUCUCUGAUGAGUGCUCCAAUGGCCAAUUUGUCAAAAUCUGUACUUUGGCAUUUCUUUAUUACAGUUUUUGAGUCUCCCAUUAUUUCUAGAUUGUUGAAGCCCAUGUAAAUUCCUAAUCUCAUGGGUUGUAAUCUUGUAUGUGCAUUCGCCGUAAACGGAGUUGCUAUAUCGGAGUGAAUGACCGUCUUUGAUGCCAAGAUCUCGCUCCUCACAUCUCGUACUAUCAGACCCGAAGCAGAUUUGAAAGAUUGUUGGUCAAAGGCUACAUCAAAAAAGAUUGCAACCUUUGUUCUUCGAUUAACAUGUUUAGGGCCUCUGUCAACUUGAAAGGUGAGUUUAUUCUCUUUUAUACCAUCAAACUCAAAGAUGUAACUACAUAUUUGCUUUGAGAUGUCUCUUCCUGUCGUAUUUUUCCUUUAAUACAUUAACCGAUUUCUAUUGGAACAGAUUAACCAAAGCCCACAACAGAAAAGUUGACACUGUUCACUAGUCCCCCGACUAAAAACCCAGGUAAGCCAUUCCCACAUAUUGUGAAUGUCGUUAUUAUGGACCCAGAAAAGAUUUAAAUAACUCCAAACAUCACUGUUGUAGGACACUGUCAAAAUAUAUGAUUACUAUCUUCCUUAUAUUGGCGACACCGAGGGCAAUAAUCGUCCACAGCCACUUUCUUAUGCUUGAGGUUAAUAAGAGUAGGAAUAAAACUCCAUGAGAUUCUUCAUACUGUAAUUGUAACUUUUGAGGGAAUGUAUAAAUUCCGUAGCUUUCUGUAGAAUUUUUUGUUUCAGCCUGUAUAAUAUAAUUACUAGGACCCAAGUUAGUCUCCUGUAAUAGUUUAUAGGCACUUAUAACUAAGAAAUCACCAGACUAUUCUUCUCUCCACACUUGAAAAUCAUCAUAUGCUAUCUCUGCCCAAGGAAUCUGCAUGAUUUUCUUUGCAAUAUCCGUUUGAAAGGUAUUCAUAAUAACAUCUGUUUUCCAAGUCCUGUUAUUAGCCUUAAUCAAAUCCAAUACUAACUUGAUGUUUUCUUUGUUGUCUUGAUUCUGUAAUCUAUCUGCUUCAUCCCAUCUUUUAGUAGCUUAUUCAAACAAAAUGCAAUCAUCUACAAAUAGUAGAUGAGAAAUAUGUGGCUCACUUUUACUUGCUUUUACUCCACUAAGUAUUUUUCUUUCAUUGCAAUCGUCAUAAGACUAGAGAGGCAUUUCCCACAAAAUAAAAAUAGAAACAGACUCAAAGGAUCUCCUGUCUUAGUCCUCUAGUUGGAUGAAAAGUUUCUCCAAUGUGUCUAUUGAAAACCACCGAAUACGAUACUGUAGAUACGUAUUUCAUUAAAGAAUCAACCCAUCCUGAAUCAAAACCCAUUCUCAUUAUUUUUUCCACAAAAUUCCAUUUGACCCUGUCGCACCGCGAUAAACCAUUUUUUCCCUACCUUCUUGUGCUUUAAUGUGUGUAAAAUUUCAUAAUCCAGUAACACAUUAUCAAAAAUCAACCUCUGAUGCACAAAAGCACUUUGUGCUAAAUUAGUACAUUUAUCAACCACUACCCUAAUUUGAUUAGCAAUGACCUUAACUAUCAAUUUAUAAAGCACAAUACAUAAGCUAAUUGGUCUAAAUUGAGUAAUACUUGAAGGGUUUGAAAUUUUCGGUAUUAGCACAAUAUUUGUUUUAUUGGUCGAAUUUAUAUUCAUACCUCCAUUUAGUCGUUGAAGACAAAAGGCUAAAACAUAUUCUCCGAUGAUCGACCAACACUUCUGAUAAAAUAAGGAUGGAAAGUCAUCCUCUCCUGGUGCUUUUGUGGAACCUAAUUUUGAUAAUGCUUCUCGUAUCUCCUCUUAGAGUUGCUCGCUUUUAGCCUAGAAUUGUCUUCAUCAGAAAUACAGUAAUCAAUUUCGGACAAAAUAUGUUCAUAAUUUCCUUAUCUCCUAGUUGAAAAUAGCCUUUGGAAAUACGAUCUAGCAAUUACUUCCAUUUCCUUAACCUCUUUCGUCUCCCUACCAUCAUCGAACUGCAUUUUACAAAUAAAAUUUCUUCUUCUCCUAUGUGUCGCUUGUUUAUGAAAAAAACAGUAUUUUUGUCUCCAAAUUUCAUCCAAUUUACUCGAGCCCUCUGUUUCCAGUAGUACUCAUCCUUCUCAAUCUCAAAAUUCAGUUGUAUCUUUAUGUCAAUAAAUUCUGCCAAGUUGUCAUCAUUUUUAUUAGAUUCCAACAAUUUAGUCAAUUUAGAAGUUAAUACCUCUUUUUUUUUAUUUUUCUGCUGCGUCGAGUUUGAUUAGCUGACCUCUCCAAGCCUUUUUUUACACUUUCUAACUACUCAGUAGAUUUCCUGUGGAAUUCUCCCAAAUGUGCCGAACCUCCUCAACAAAUGAUUCCUCUAAAACCCACCAAGUUUCAAACUUAAAACUUUUAUUAAAAUGUCCCUUAACUUCAAGUUCUGUAGUAAUAAAUAGUGGACAAUAGUCUGAUGAAGAAUGAGAAAGAUGUUGAAUUAAGGAAUCUGGAAAUAAGGAUAUCCAUUCUUUAGUAGCCAAUCCCCUAUCUAAUCUUUCUUGAAUGUUCGUUUCCGGAAAGUUUCCUCUCUCCCAAAUGAACCAGUUUCCUGAUAACCUACAUCUAACAGAUUACAAUCUUCCAACGCCUUUCGAAAAGCUUCCAUUCGUCUCUCCUCUCAAGGUAAGCCUCCAUUUUUUUCAAAUUCAUACAUAAUUUCAUUAAAGUCUCUACAAACCAGCCAUGGAAGCUCCCCUUCAUUACGUAAGUGCCUUAAAAGAUUCCAUGAUUCAUCCCUAUCCUAUGUGUAGGGAGAUCCAUAGAAACCAAUAAAUCUCCACUGGUUACUGGCAUCUGUAUCUUCGAUUAUCACAUCAAUAUGCCAUUUUGAAAAACUCUGGAACAUAAUAUUAACAUCCCCACGCCAUGCUAAACAUAAUCCUCCUCUAGAACCAAUUGAAUCAACAUCAAUACCAUUAGGAAAACCACAACUCCUUCAAACUCUUUCCAUCUGACUCAUUUUAAUUUUUGUCUCCAUGAAGAAGACCAUAUGGGGAUUGUAUAACUUCAGCGGAUUCCGAAGUCUUCGAAUUGUCCAUGGAUUCCCCAAACCACGGACAUUCCAACUUAAGAUUUUUAUGGCUUCAGGUUGGCUUGCCUCUUGGCAGCUGCUGAUAACAAAUGAUUAAUUUCCAAUAAUCCUCUAUUUCUAACUACCAAAAUGUUACUUUCUUCAGUCUCCCCCUAGCUCUCUUUUCCCCUUCCUCUCCUAUUAACACAUCAUCUUCCAAAUCAUGGUCCACUACAGUUUGGGCUUAACCUGUCAAUGAAUUUUCCCCUUGACAUGAAGAGGACGUUCUUCCUUCCAAAUUGAAACCUAAAAUAGGGUCAAUAACCUUGUUACUCCCUUAUUUUUUACCUACUCCCCACCCACUGUUUCCUAGUGUUCGGCCGCUUACUCUGCUUCCACCCAGUACUCCUUCUCCUUCCUCUCGUAGCUAGAUGCUAUUCAUUGCUUGGGCUCUCCGAGAUUGUCUCGCAGUGAUAAGUCCCAACCCAUUUCAGCAAUUUCUACCCCUAAUGCAUCUUUGCUUCACAAAAAGAAUCAUUAUGGCCCAAACGGCCAAAAUAGAAACAAAAAAGUGAUAAUCUUUAAUACUUAAAUCUAAUAUUUGAUUCUCUUUCACCAGGUUCAAGCCAUCAUACUCCAUAA
rnacentral:lncRNA from 1 species